GGGGGCGUAUGGCUUCGACGGGGUCGUGGGUCGUGGGAUGGCGAGCCGAGCCCCGGGCUCGUAAAACCGGGAAAAACAUAAGUGCGAACAGCACUCAGCCCGUCGCGCUAGCCGCGUAACCAAGGGCACACACCUCAGGCUUCGGCCUGACGUCGACCGGUCCCUCGGCCGUGGGGGCCGGAGCCGACGUUAAUACCAGUGGCCUCGCCGCCCGGUGGCGCCACGGCGCCGGGCGGGACGAACACCGUGGCUGGUCGGGGCGGAGCCUGGUCCCAGGGCGCCGCUCCGGUGAGAACAAAACCGGGACUACGCUCGUAGAGGUCUCACGGGACGCGGCUUCGGACCCGGGUUCGAGCCCCGGCGCCUCCAAAA
rnacentral:tmRNA from 1 species